GUCAGUUUGAAAAUUUGAAAAGAGACGUGCGCGAGUGCUGCCUGCGGAUAGCGAAAAGAAAAAAAGGGAAGAAGAGAGGAGCUCCGUCGCAAAUAGGUCGGAUAAGGAUUCUUCUAUCUUUUCACGAAGGAUUUACGUGUGAUCUCGCCAUCGUCGUCGUCGUCGUCGGCGUCGAAAACGACGGUACAGCCUGUCGGAAUAUGGCACGAGAGGCACCGCCGGCACCAUCUCGGAAGCCAUGCCGGCUGACGAGUUCGUGCGUAUCCAACGAGAAGACGGUGGUAGAAAACCGAGCUUGCAGCCGCCUUAACGCACUGAUCGACUGAUUGCGUCGUCGCUGAUAAAGAAAGAGAAAGAGAAAGA